rnacentral:lncRNA from 1 species
UGAGGAUUUACAAAACCACGUCUUACUUUUCUACCCCUUCAUAUUGUUGCAGAAGCUGAAAAAGUAUUUUCUAAUUUCAUUUUCAAUUAUUUUUAGGCUACAAGAGUGACUGAACACAGAUUACCUCCUCCUGGUCCUCCCACAGGCAAUGUACCUCUGGCAAAAAGAGAAUGCACAAAAUUCCUUCACUGUACAGAGAUCUUUGAGUCUGCAAAGUGUCCCUUCUGUAAUUGCCUUGUUCCCUCAGUAGUUGUGGAGGAAUUUCAGCACAAGAAGCUCUGGUGAGGCUUCAGAGCUCUUUGUAGGCUCUGGAACAGCAGAACAGGAGGGAGAGGAGCUGCACAAACCCUCCCACAUCCCUUCUCUGUGGAUGCUCCCCAUGAGUCCAGGGUAGUGC